CCUACGGGAGGCAGCAGUGGGGAAUUUUCCGCAAUGGGCGAAAGCCUGACGGAGCAACGCCGCGUGGGGGAUGAAGGCCUCUGGGCUGUAAACCCCUUUUCUCAAGGAAGAAGACCUGACGGUACUUGAGGAAUAAGCCACGGCUAAUUCCGUGCCAGCAGCCGCGGUAAUACGGGAGUGGCAAGCGUUAUCCGGAAUUAUUGGGCGUAAAGCGUCCGCAGGCGGCCUAUUAAGUCUGUCGUUAAAGCGUGGAGCUCAACUCCAUUUAAGCGAUGGAAACUGGAAGGCUAGAGUGUGGUAGGGGCAGAGGGAAUUCCCGGUGUAGCGGUGAAAUGCGUAGAUAUCGGGAAGAACACCAGUGGCGAAGGCGCUCUGCUGGGCCAUAAACUGACGCUCAUGGACGAAAGCCAGGGGAGCGAAAGGGAUUAGAUACCCCUGUAGUCCUGGCCGUAAACGAUGAACACUAGGUGUCGGGGGAAAUCGACCCCCUCGGUGUCGUAGCUAAACGCGUUAAAGUGUUCCGCCGUCGGGAGGUACGCGACGACAAGUAGUGAAACUACAAAGAAAGUUAGACGG
rnacentral:rRNA from 1 species